UGGGGAAUUUUGGACAAUGGGGGAAACCCUGAUCCAGCCAUCCCGCGUGUGCGAUGAAGGCCUUCGGGUUGUAAAGCACUUUUGGCAGGAAAGAAACGUCAUGGGUUAAUACCCCGUGAAACUGACGGUACCUGCAGAAUAAGCACCGGCUAACUACGUGCCAGCAGCCGCGGUAAUACGUAGGGUGCAAGCGUUAAUCGGAAUUACUGGGCGUAAAGCGUGCGCAGGCGGUUCGGAAAGAAAGAUGUGAAAUCCCAGAGCUCAACUUUGGAACUGCAUUCUUAACUACCGAGCUAGAGUGUGUCAGAGGGAGGUGGAAUUCCGCGUGUAGCAGUGAAAUGCGUAGAUAUGCGGAGGAACACCGAUGGCGAAGGCAGCCUCCUGGGAUAACACUGACGCUCAUGCACGAAAGCGUGGGGAGCAAACAGG
rnacentral:rRNA from 1 species